rnacentral:tRNA from 1 species
GGGGUUGUGGCUCAGUGGUAGAGCACCUGCCUGGCAUGUGUGAGGCAUCGGGUUCGAUCCUCAGCACCA